rnacentral:rRNA from 1 species
UCCAGGCAAAUCCGGAUAAUCAAGGCUGAGGUGUGAUGACGAGGCACUACGGUGCUGAAGUAACAAAUGCCCUGCUUCCAGGAAAAGCCUCUAAGCAUCAGGUAACAUCAAAUCGUACCCCAAACCGACACAGGUGGUCAGGUAGAGAAUACCAAGGCGCUUGAGAGAACUCGGGUGAAGGAACUAGGCAAAAUGGUGCCGUAACUUCGGGAGAAGGCACGCUGGUGUGUAGGUGAAGUCCCUGCGGAUGGAGCUGAGACCAGUCGAAGAUACCAGCUGGCUGCAACUGUUUAUUAAAAACACAGCACUGUGCAAACACGAAAGUGGACGUAUACGGUGUGACGCCUGCCCGGUGCCGGAAGGUUAAUUGAUGGGGUUAUCCGUAAGGAGAAGCUCUUGAUCGAAGCCCCGGUAAACGGCGGCCGUAACUAUAACGGUCCUAAGGUAGCGAAAUUCCUUGUCGGGUAAGUUCCGACCUGCACGAAUGGCGUAAUGAUGGCCAGGCUGUCUCCACCCGAGACUCAGUGAAAUUGAACUCGCUGUGAAGAUGCAGUGUACCCGCGGCAAGACGGAAAGACCCCGUGAACCUUUACUAUAGCUUGACACUGAACAUUGAGCCUUGAUGUGUAGGAUAGGUGGGAGGCUUUGAAGCGUGGACGCCAGUCUGCGUGGAGCCAACCUUGAAAUACCACCCUUUAAUGUUUGAUGUUCUAACGUUGGCCCCUUACCGGGGUUGCGGACAGUGUCUGGUGGGUAGUUUGACUGGGGCGGUCUCCUCCCAAAGCGUAACGGAGGAGCACGAAGGUUAGCUAAUCCUGGUCGGACAUCAGGAGGUUAGUGCAAUGGCAUAAGCUAGCUUGACUGCGAGCGUGACGGCGCGAGCAGGUGCGAAAGCAGGUCAUAGUGAUCCGGUGGUUCUGAAUGGAAGGGCCAUCGCUCAACGGAUAAAAGGUACUCCGGGGAUAACAGGCUGAUACCGCCCAAGAGUUCAUAUCGACGGCGGUGUUUGGCACCUCGAUGUCGGCUCAUCACAUCCUGGGGCUGAAGUAGGUCCCAAGGGUAUGGCUGUUCGCCAUUUAAAGUGGUACGCGAGCUGGGUUUAGAACGUCGUGAGACAGUUCGGUCCCUAUCUGCCGUGGGCGCUGGAGAAUUGAGGGGGGCUGCUCCUAGUACGAGAGGACCGGAGUGGACGCAUCACUGGUGUUCGGGUUGUCAUGCCAAUGGCACUGCCCGGUAGCUAAAUGCGGAAGAGAUAAGUGCUGAAAGCAUCUAAGCACGAAACUUGCCCCGAGAUGAGUUCUCCCUGAGACUUUAAGUCUCCUGAAGGAACGUUAAAGACGAUGACGUUGAUAGGCCGGGUGUGUAAGCGCAGCGAUGCGUUGAGCUAACCGGUACUAAUGAACCGUGAGGCUUAACC